UAGGGAAUCUUGCUCAAUGGGCGCAAGCCUGAAGCAGCGACGCCGCGUGAGGGAUGAAUGCCUUCGGGUUGUAAACCUCUUUCAGCGGGGACGAAGCCGCAAGGUGACGGUACCCGCAGAAGAAGGUCCGGCCAACUACGUGCCAGCAGCCGCGGUAAUACGUAGGGACCGAGCGUUAUCCGGAUUUAUUGGGCGUAAAGCGCGCGUAGGCGGCUACACACGUCGGUUGUGAAAGCUCGGAGCUCAACUCUGAGAGGCCUUCCGAUACGGUGUGGCUAGAGGUAGGUAGGGGAGAGCGGAAUUCCUGGUGUAGCGGUGAAAUGCGCAGAUAUCAGGAGGAACACCGGUGGCGAAGGCGGCUCUCUGGGCCUGUCCUGACGCUGAGGCGCGAAAGCUGGGGGAGCGAACAG
rnacentral:rRNA from 1 species